rnacentral:rRNA from 1 species
UACGAAGGGGGCUAGCGUUGCUCGGAAUCACUGGGCGUAAAGGGUGCGUAGGCGGAUUUGUAAGUCAGGGGUGAAAUCCCGGGGCUCAACCUCGGAACUGCCUUUGAUACUGCAAGUCUUGAGUCCGAUAGAGGUGAGUGGAAUUCCUAGUGUAGAGGUGAAAUUCGUAGAUAUUAGGAAGAACACCAGUGGCGAAGGCGGCUCACUGGAUCGGUACUGACGCUGAGGUGCGAAAGCGUGGGGAGCAAACAGGG